AAAUGGCCUUCUGGAAGGAACCUGCUUCUGCAUGGACCAGAGAGAGAGUUAAAAACCGAGUCUGCACCUCGUUCUGCCGUGAUUGGUGAGCUUCCUUCACCGGGACGUUAUUGAACGUGUCCAUCACUGCGGCUGGAGCUAGGCUGGAAAUGAUGGCAACACUCCUAGAAGAGCUCAACUGGGCAAGGAAACAAGAAUGAAACCACUCCUGGCUUUCAGUGGACCAGCUGAGGAUCAUGUGGUGAUGGAAGAGGGGGACUGGAACUCUCCUGGGGAAGAAAAGAGCUUUUGUCAUAUCAAACAUCUCCCAGUGAGUGAAACCCCAGCUUCAGCCUGGACA